rnacentral:rRNA from 1 species
AAGCGUUUAUGACCAGACUUGGGCUUGGUUAAUCAUCUGGGGUUCUCCCCAGUGCACUUUUCCAGUCCAGGCCAGCAUCAGUUUUCCCCGGGGGAUAAAGGCGGCGGGAAUGUGGCUCUCUUCGGGGAGUGUUAUAGCCCACCGUGUAAUAC